rnacentral:rRNA from 1 species
GAUCAUGGCUCAGGAUGAACGCUAGCGACAGGCUUAACACAUGCAAGUCGAGGGGCAGCACGGGAGUAGCAAUACAACGUGGUGGCGACCGGCGCACGGGUGAGUAACGCGUAUGCAACCUACCUAUCAGAGGGGAAUAACCCGGCGAAAGUCGGACUAAUACCGCAUAAAACAGGGGCACCGCAUGGUGAUAUUUGUUAAAGAAAUUCGCUGAUAGAUGGGCAUGCGUUCCAUUAGGUAGUUGGUGAGGUAACGGCUCACCAGGCCGACGAUGGAUAGGGGAACUGAGAGGUUGGUCCCCCACACUGGUACUGAGACACGGACCAGACUCCUACGGGAGGCAGCAGUGAGGAAUAUUGGUCAAUGGGCGGGAGCCUGAACCAGCCAAGUCGCGUGAAGGAAAGAAGGAUCUAUGGUUCGUAAACUUCUUUUGCAGGGGAAUAAAGUGCAGGACGUGUCCUGUUUUGUAUGUACCCUGAGAAUAAGGAUCGGCUAACUCCGUGCCAGCAGCAGC